UUUAAACUACUCUUUGGUAACCAAUGAUGAAAAUUAACUAACAAAUUCUAAAGUCUAUAUUAGGUUCUGCAGUAUGACAACAAACAAUCCAAUGAUUCAUUGAUCAAGACCAGUCAUAACACAAUAUCUGAUAGACCCCCUAGUACAAGGGCAUAUGCAACAGGUAGACGGGGAAGUUGAGAAUCAGCAAAUAUGAGGGAAAGGAGGAAAGAAUAGUGAAUAUUCAAUUGCAGCAUAACGGGAUGCCCAUCUAGGAGUGAAAAAUGACAGAAUUUGGCUUGGAGGGAUGAGAUAAAUGUGAAGAGCAGAAAGAGCAACAGUUAGGCAAAAUUGUGUAAGAGUUUAGACAGGGAGGUGGGCAGACCCUCAAAAAUCUGUAUGUACUUCUAUAUUUUCUUUCUUUUAGUGUAACCAAGUCAGUUUCCGUAUUGUAAGGAGCUAUACUCCAGUGUAUCUCAUAAAAGUAAAAAUCAGUUCCUAUCAAUAUCUCAAAUUUCUACAAUGGAUUCUUCACAGUUUGAGGAAAAGAAAAACAUAAGUUACAAAACUUCAGGAUUCAGACCAAUUUACCAAAAAUGGUUUCAGUAGUCAGAAAUUUUAGAGCCAAUUUUCAGUUGUAAUAGACACUUUGUCAAUGAAGUUUUAAAACAAAAAAAAAAUGAAAUCGUCAGGAUAUACGAGUCAAGCGUUGAAAAAGGAAAAUAUCUCCAGCUUCAAUCAUUAAAUAUUUAAUCAAAUAUGGAUACAACAAGGGUCAUGCAUGUCACAGGCUUUUGACAUCAACAGAGAAAGCUGUUGUUUAAUUUGGGCUUCCGUACAAUUUUGACAGAUUUUGAAAUAGAAAGUUCACAAAGAAAUUCAUGCUGCAAAUCUCUGGAUCUUCUAAGAUCCAUUGAAUGUAAUGUGCAGCUUGGCAACUAAUGGAAAUUUACAGCAUUGAUUAAUACAAAUAUAAUACCAAACAAUUACAGAAAAGCUAAGCAAAUACUUGUAUUUAAUUCAUAAAUGCACAUACAAUAGGAAGUUACGAACCGAAAUGUUUUUUUUAUUAUUCGCCAUCCUAAAGACAAACUACCAGGUGUCUAUAAAAGGAAGUCAGAUUAAUGUAACAUAAACAUAAAAAUUAGGCAAAGAGAUAGAGCUGCAUAUUUUUCAUUUCCCUUUUAAAUAGGAAAUAGUUUUAUUCAGUUUAAAAACAACCAUAUAUCAUUCAGAAAAAUCCGCAACUUCAUUUAUCAAAGGAUAAAUUAUCCAUUUUAAACAAAAACAUUGUAAAAUGAUCAUGUCAUAAAAUUCAAGAAACCUAAACAUAAACAAAAGGAUAGAAGAAUGCACAAGCAUAAUGGAAUCUUUUCAAAUUGAAACAUCACCAUCAACACAGCAUCAAUAAGCAAACCAAAUUCAAACAAAAAUCAGAAAUGGCUGCAUAAUUUUUUGAGUAAACCAACUAUAUUUUGCCAAUUAAAAGCAAGUACAGGUAAGCAAAAUAAGUGGUAAGACAACUUUCAUAGUUUCAUCCGACAGUUCUCUAUAAAUGGUUGCAUAAUUUUUUGACUAAAUCAACUACAUUUUAGUGGAGGAAAUACUAGAAUGCAAUAUCUAUAAUGAAGCAAAAAUACAAAUCUAACUCUAGGAGAAAAAUAUCAAACACUUUAACAGCCAUUAUAUUAACAGUUAUAGUUGCAGUUAUAUGAUACAAAUGAAAGAAUGAACGGAUAGAUAAGGUUUUCGUUCUUACUGCAACUUCAAUGUAGUCUUUGGGACGUCUAAUUUUCACAAUGGAGCCAAAUAGCAUACUGCCAUCAAAAGAAAGAGCAGCUGAUGCAUCAUCAGCUGUAAGGAACUCUACAAGUGCUUGCCCCUUAUCUUUAUGUAACUGCAGAGAAUAUAUACAAGAACAAAUUCAAACCCAUUGCUUCAUAAGAGGGGGAAAACUAAAUUUUCAUAUUUUGCACUACAGACUCACAAUGCAGCAGAUGCAUGGUUGAGCUUGCUGGAUAUGAUUUACACGGGCAGAGAGCAAGAGGUUAUUGAAACAAUCCAUCACAGCUUUCUCAGAAGCAGAAGCAGGUAAAUUCUCAAGAUAAAGCCUUCUAAUAGGCCGGGUAGCUUGUGUCAAUUGGACAGAAUCAAUGUUGGUAUUCUUCCCUGUUGAUACAUCACUUGGAAAAGACACAGGCAGAGGCUUCACAAGGGCUAGAUCAAGAGAACUAGUUGAAACCACAUCAUGCAUAUUAGACAACACAGCACAAUUUGAUACUGGAAAACUUGAAGAAACAACAGCAGAAGGAUUAUUUGUCCCUGCAGGGGGAAGAUCCCAUCCAGCACGUUUCUUCUCAAGAGAAUGCUUAGAUGGAGAAGGAGUCUUGGCAGCGGCUUCACUUUUCCUCUUCCUUGGAGAAUACCCACCAAGUCCACUUGUGGAGACACCAUGUCGAUGAUGGUGACCACUUGAACCAUUAGUUGAUACUCUAUUUCUAUCAAUAUCAGGGUUCUUAGUUCUAGAACUAUCUUUCAAGGAAUGCAUUGACAACUCUUUGCGCUCUCCAUCUUGAUAAGUACGUUUUUGCUCCCUUGGUGAAAAAGAAGGGGACCUUCUAUCCUCACGCUCUCGACUUCUUGAACAUCUCCUCUUUGCUGUUAAUUCUUCAUUAUGAGACUUCACCUUUACCCGUCUCUCUUUCCUCUCAUAAAUGUGCAUGUUAUGAUGUUUCACAGCAUCUUGUUUUCUUGAUGUAUUCCUGUCUUGAGUUUCAUCAUCACCAUUUUUGUAUUUUCUCUUGGUUUCCCUUUCAUAUUUUGCCCUACCCCCUGCAUGCUUAUCCUUAUCUGAUUCUCUAUAAUGCUUCUUUUCAGGUACUUCUUCAGAGUCAUUGCUUAACCGCUUUUUCAAUUUCCACCUAUUAUCUCUAUCUUUGUCAUGCCUCUUUUCAGUAACAUACAUAUUAUGAUUCUCAUCCCCUCCAAUGUGGUUCUUUUUCUUUAUUUCCCUUUCAGAUUUUGGUCUAUUUGUUUCCACAUAACUAUCCUUAUAAACUGAAUCUCUUGAAUGCUUAUUUCCAGCUCUAUACUCGGAACUAUCAUGAACUCGCUCAUUUUUUUUAUAACCAGACAUCUCUUUUUCAGUCUUUUCUUUGGUUAUCCUGGCUUUAUUAUUUAAUCCAGCACUUGAUUUGGUUUCCAAAAUAUGGUUUGCCCUUCUUUUCCCUUCAGUUAAAUCAUCUUCCUUUACAAUGGCGCUUUCAACUUUCUUUCUAGAUGUUACUUUCACUAAUUCCUCCGAAACAUGUUUCUCCAUGCCAAAGGAUAAACUUUUGUCAUGUUUAUAGAUUCUGGCAGACUUAAAAUGAUCAGUAAUUUUCUCUGAAGAACAUCCAUGUGCAGGGUCUUUUACAUUUUCAAGCAGUUCUUUUUCUUUUGGUGAGUUUCCAAGCAGUUCCUUGUUUCUUCUUCUAAGCAUAAUCUCUUCAAAACUAAAUGGCCUUGUACGGGCUGCACUCUCUUCAUCACAAUUAUGCUCAGAAAGCCAAUUGCUUUUUCCAUGCUUCUCCUUUGAACGAUUAGAUUUGCUCAUCUUGUAUGAUGCCAACCAAUUACAAAAAGAAAUUAAUUGUGUCCCUACUAAGAGAUUAAGGAGAGCAUAACAACAUGCUGAAAUCUUGAAAUUGCAACAACUAUCAAAAGAUAGAUUAUACUGUUCCUGAGGAAGCCAAAAAAGGAAAUACAAUGAGAUCACAACCACAUACAUGCAUCUAUAUGUAACAAUUCAUUCAACUAAAUGAAACAGAAAGUCCAUUUCAAGCAUUAAUAUGUUUGUUGAUUUCUUCCAAUCAUGUUAUGAAGAAAUGAUUAACUACAAAAUGAAUAUAACAUGGAUCAGGCUCCUCUAAUGCAAGCAACUCACUUUUGAGAGUAAAGUGGGCAAUCUAAGUUGUCAAUAAGAAAAACAUAGUUGAUGUUACUUGUGUUUGGGAGUUGGGUUUUGGAGGGGAAGGGAAGAGGAGGAAUUUUUUUUGUUUUAAAUAAAUAUUUUCUAUUUUGAUAUUUUGUAAAUGAAAGAAAUAAAAUAAUAUAUCAGCAUAAAUUUAAAGUCCUGAACUUUUGUUUACUUUUAUAAAUAGUACAUAACUAUCUUCAUUUAAAAAAAAAAAAAAAAAAAAUUGCCCUCCCUCUUCUUCCCCUUCAAAACUCAACUCCCAAUCAGUUUAUAAGGGAAAGGAGUGCCUAGCAUUGUAAUGCAACAACCACAAAAGUCUUAUUCCCCAGGGUGAGAUCCUCUACAUGAAUCAUAGGACAUCAUUGGACUUGGUUAAAUAACAUAGCAUUCUAAUAAAUAAUAAUAAUAAUAAUAAUUUAUUAUUAUUAUUAUGUUAAACUGUAACAAUUAACAAAAUCAACAUAAGCAUGUGUGUGAUUAACAGCACUACUUUCUUUCUUUUCCAUUUACCCUUUGUAAAAUCAAUUUCUCACAUUCUCAACCACCAUAAGUUCCACCUCUGCAAAACACUUAUAUUUACAUACUCAGAAAGCACAGAACUGCUAGUAUUUAUUUUCCCACUAGCCACUGUGAAAUUGAAGUUACACUCACAAAAGCAUUUUUUUUUCAUUUCAAUAAUCUAACCUAUGACCUUAAUGUGCUAAAUUGCAAUUGCAUUCCAUCUCAAUCCCCUAAACUAUAGUCUAUGAUGCUUCAUUGCUUCCCUCUAAAACCCUAACCUAUGACCUUAAUAUGCUAAAUUGCAAUUGCAUUCCAUCUCAAUCCCCUAAACUAUAGUCUAUGAUGCUUCAUUACUUCCCUCUAAAACCCUAACCUAUGACCUUAAUAUGCUAAAUUGCAAUUGCAUUCCAUCUCAAUCCCCUAAACUAUAGUCUACGAUGCUUCAUUGCUUCCCUCUAAAACCCUCGAUGCCUUUCAAAUCAAAUCCCAUUAACUUCAUCGCAACCAAAACCUAAUAUUGAAAAACGGAAAAUGCUACGGCGAAGAAGAGAGACAGAACCUGGAGAGAAGAGAGUUAAGGUUGCGGCGGUUGGCGACGGUAGUAAGGGCGACGAAGCGAAGAGAGUGAGAGCAGUGCGUUAUCUAUAAUUUACGCAAUGCGUAGUAUUCCCUCGUUUCAUCUUCUCCUUUUAUUUCUGAAAUUAAAUUAAAACAAACAAACAAAAAACAAAUAUCCCUUGUAUUUUGGAAUUUAUUUUGAGUUUAAUAGUUUUCAAUAAAAUUUAAUUAAUAGUUUUUACUUUCUCAAUUAAUCAUUUCUAAUAUGUUAUUAUAUAAAAAAAUUACUGAUUAUAUAUUAAGAAAUAUUUAUCAUAAAAAAUAUCGAUUAACCUCGAUUACACCGUAAAUACCCACAAAAGAUAAAUACUUUUUAUUUUGUAUAAUUUAUUUCAUCCUUGUUAAAAUUAAGAUUCAAAUCCAUACUAUUGAGUAAUAAUGUGAAUAUAUUUUUACUAUAUAUUGGUAUGUGUAUUAGAUGACAGUGUUUAUUGUACAUAUUAUUUAUUUCUUAUUUUUUUUGUUAAAAAUAUAUAAAUAAGAUUCUUUUUAUUAAAAAAACACAAUAAAAAUGUAUUGAAAAUCACGUGUGAAUUUUGAUUACAUUAGAAUGAAAAUGAAAAAUUUUAUAAACAUGGAUUCUUCGGAAAAAUGUGUUAAAAAUGAGUUUAAUAAAAAUAUGUAGUUAUUAUAAAAUUUUAUAUUGGUAACCAAUAAAAAAUUACACUUUAUAUGACGUUUAAGGUAAUCUUUUAACAUUUUUAUAUAGAUUAAAAUAGUUAUUUUGAAUGAAAGUUAUUUUAAAAUCAAUUCUCUAACGAUAACAUUUUUAGGAGUUUUUUUUAAUAAAAGUGCUUUUAAGGAUUUUUCUCGAUCUCUUACACUUUUCAAUUUAUUCUUUUUAUUUUUAUUAUAGAAUUAAAUUUUAAUAUUUUUUACAAGAAGCUAUCAAUGGUAAUAAAUAAUAUUAUAUUAAAAUAUAUUUGUUUCUUAUAAAUCUAAAAUAUAAUUUAUAUGUGCAAAAUAUUUAUUUGAUACAAAUUUUAAUUAUACAUAAUUUAUAAAUUCAAAAGUACAUAUUUAUUAUAAAUUUUAUCUAUAUAAAAUAAAUAUUAAUCUUAUAUAUUUCACAUACUAAAAUAUUAGUUAUUUUAUAAAUUAAUAAAUUUAAUAUGAAUGUUAAUUUAUUAUUAGAUGAUCAUGUGGUUGGUUUCAAUAAAAUUUAAAUUAUAAACAAAGUUUUAAGUUUGAAUUUUGUUGCGAUAAAAGACCCUACAAAAGAUAAAUAAUUAAGUUUUUUUGGCAGAAAUUAAUAAUUGAUAAAACUAAUAAAUACAUUAAUAACAUAUAGUGACAAAAAAUUGUAAUUAGAUGAAAAUAUAUAGCACAUUAUUUAUUCCUAAUUUUUUGUGUUUUUUUAGUCUUAAAUAAUAAAUUUUAAGACAAACAAAAAAUUAACAUUUAGUUGAAGCUAAAAGUGAGAAUUAUCAGUCUUAUAAUUCUCCUAAAAUACUAAUACUAAAAAAAAAGUUGAAGCUAAAAGAGAGAAAAUUAUUUGCUAUUAGAACAAAUUUCAUUGUGUAAAACCUCAUAAUUGAACAUAUUUGAGAAUUUUAUUUUAUUUUCCUUUGUUAGUAAAUCAGAUUGGAAGCAUAAACGGCAUUUGAAGCAAUUGAUUUCCUUCAAGUGAGAUGGAAGUACAAUUAAAACCAAGAUUCAUAACACACAACAAAAUGAAAUGGGAGAUUUGAAGAAGAAAAGAAGAUUCAUAACAUAACCAAGAUCCAUAACAACCAAAAUUAGUGACCAAGAUGCAUAACACAACCAAAAUUAAAAAACAAGAUCCAUAACACAGCUAAGAUAAUAAAGUAUAUUUGUUAAAGUUAUACCUAGUAAGUAUCUAUGACAUCAAAUAGAGGAAAACUAGAGAACUUGAGAAGGAGUGUGAGACUUUAUCCAUCCUAGUUGCAGUGCAGGAUCCUUUAAAGCGACAAAGGUAAUCAUGUUUUUCCUUUUCUUCAUAAGUCUAGUAGCCAUGAAAAAUAUAUCAGUCCCAAGCACACAAAUAGUUCCUUUACUGAUAACUUUAUUGUCAAUUUAGACAAACGCUUAUGUUCAUGCAAUUUGUUGGGAUUUAACUGGAAUACCAUGUAGACAUGCAUGUUCAACCAUUAGUUUUAAGGAGGGGACAACACAGGAUUAUGUACACAUACUACAAGAAGGAGUUGUAUAAAUUAUGUUAUGAACAGGUCAUUUCUCCUAUUCAUGGUCAGAAAAGGUGGCAAAAAACUAAUGAAGAGUUGUUGCCACCCCUUUACAUAAAAGGGUCUGGUAGGCUAAAAAAAACUUAGGAGGAGAGAGCGAGAAGAAGGUUCAAAUCCAAGAGAAUUAAGGAGAAUUAACAUUGUUAAUAGAUGUAGCAGAUGUCAUCAAUUAGGUCAUAAUUUGAAAACAUGAAAAAUGCCACCUCCUCGACCUCAAAUAGAAAAAUGUGGAUGGUUCUCAACCACAAACUUUUCAAUGUACUGAUCCAAAUCAAGUUGGUGUCAGCCCAAGUGUCAAUCCUGCUGAUCCAAAUCAAGGUGCUUCUAAUGCAAAUGUCAAUCAUGUUGAACCAAAUCAAGGUAACUCUAGUUCAAGUGUGGAUCCUGCUCAAGCAAAAAAGGUUGCUGCCAGUUCAAUUGUUAUUCUUAAUCAAGCAAAAGAUGUUGCUGCCAAUUCAAGUGUGAUUCCUCCACCAAAGGUAACUUUUGCCUCACCAUGUAACAGACAUCAGUUUAUUGCAAUUUUUCAUUUUUUUAAUGUAAAUUGAUGCUUGCUAUAUGUCUGGGAAAAAAAAAGUUGCUAAGCCAACUGCAAGGUCAACUAGGGGAAAUAAUAAAUCAACACUGAAGACUAAAGGAAAUAUACCAAAGGUAAACCGCACUUUUUACUUUUUUUUUUUUUUAAAGGAUGUACAGUUUUUACAUUUUUUAUCAACUCUGUUGCAAAUUUGGCAAAGAAUUGGAUGAACUUAGCAUAAAAAAUGGUUAGAUUAAAUCAUCCCAGUCUAUUGCUUAAUCCACAUCUACUUAUUAUCAUCUAAUUAUUUGAUUUACUUGCAUUUUCAUGGCAGGACUUCUGCACCAAAUCAAGGUGAUGGUGAACAGCAGUUGCAUCCAAAUAUGAAUAAAGCCCAAGAACUGUCUGAAGGCUAAAAAACUGAAGCUUUGUAUGAGUCAAUAUAAUUGGUAUGGAUUGACCUUUGCAAAUUACCAAUUGAUUGUUAUGUUUUGUGUACCUUACAGCCUAUGAACUCGGCAUGUGAUCAUAAGACCAAGGUCCCCAUCGUGGUCGGAUGACACAUAAGACUCUAUCACUCGUAAUGAACUCAAAGCUUGGUGACCACUAGCUCCCUAUGAUCACGCAUGAUGCUUAGAGGAUUAGUUAGUUAGUCUAACCUCCUCAAGGUUGGACAUGUAUAUAUAGACCCAAAGAAAACACAAUAAGGUACGUUUUCAAUCACUCCAUACAUAGAUGCACAAAACACCUUGGGCUUGACUGACUUAAUCGUCUGAGUCCUUUUUGCAGGCACUUCCUCCAACAUUGGAGUAGGAGAUCGGAGAUUCCAUUAAGAUGAGGAACAAAAGGAGAGAGGUAGACAGCUCAUCAGAAGUCAGCCACAACUCACCAGAACUCAGUCGGAACAUUUAACUCAGCCACAACUCACCGGAACUCAGCCAAAACAUUUAACUCAUCCACAGAGCGCCGAAACUCCACCACAGCUCACCGAAACUCAGCGGGAACAUUUUGUUUGCACAAAGUUGUUUCUUCGUCAAGGAUAAUUAAUAGGUAAAAGCAGAGAGGAGACUGUCCAAGAUGUUGGUGGCUGUCAGAUUUUUUGGAAGACUUUUGACUUAUUAUGAUAUUGGUGUUGGGGAUAUUAUGAACUUUUACAAUGUCUUCAGUUUUGAAUUUAGAUCUAAUUAUUUUGGUGGUCUUUUAAGUCUAAUUUGGUUGUGAGUAAGUCAUGUGGUCCUUAGAGGUUCUAUUUUUUUGGAUGUAAGUGGCCACAUGGAUUCUUGAAAGAUUUGCAUGCAGACAACGUGACUUAUUUGGAUGUGAAUCUUUCAAUUUUGAUGUACUCUAAAGAUUACCCUUAUUGUUUUGGUAAAACUUGGCAGUGUUGUUAAUUCAAAUAUCAGUUAUCAUGUUUAAAGCUUCACACAAUUAUAUGGUACACUAGAUUAAUGGGUGUUUCUAAAAUGCUAACUUGAAAACACCCAUUUGUAUUUACAACAUUGCCGAUUCAGUUGCAAGGACAGGGUUGUUUUUUAUCACUAAGUGGUAUUAUUACAUUCUAAUUGUUAUUCAAGUCAUAAUCACAUAUACAUAGGUGUUUUUCUUUUCUUUUCUAGAUCACAAGUAUCUUCCACUAAAGACAAUCUCAUUCAAAUUUGAUAAAAUUACUAUAACCAACAAAAUUCUCCCUCUAGAUAUUUAACACCACUACAUAAGUGUUUAUAUCCAAGUCUGUUGGACAUUUAGAUCUAACUAUGACUAUAGCAAAAACCUCCCUGUAGAAUAAUAUAAGAACAUUGUAACUGAACAUUAGAAAAACAAAAGACAAUAGGCCUUUCUCAAUUUACUAAAUAUUGAAAUAAGGAAGUCCAAAGUCUAAGCAUGAUGUAAUAAUAAUAAAAAAUUAACAUUGUAACUGAACAUAGCAAUAGCCGAGGUUUUUCUCAAAAAAAAUAAAAAAAAUAGCAAUAGCCGAGGUGUUUCGGAAAAAAAUAACAAUAGCCGAGGUAUUUAACCACUGAGAUCUCUACUUUUUAACCAACACGAUAAUGCUAAAUGGCCUAAACUAAUGAGAGGGACAAAAAUACAAACAGAAAAUUUUUGAGGUGCUAAAAAUAGUCAAAGAUUUUAAUCAGGGACUAAAUAUGAUCAAAUUAUUUUUUUUGAGAGAUUAAAAAAUAAAAAAUAAUUAGGUCCAUUAGCUAUAUGUUUAAUCUCUACAUGACAUGCAGCAUCAGAUUAUGUGAAUAUCACAUUAUCAAUGCCGCAUCAGAUGCUUAUGUAAAUAUCACAUUAUGGUUCAUGUUAAGUGCAAAGACCAAAAAUGUGGAACAGACAAAUUUAUGAGGCACCAAACCCGGUCAAAAACAAUUUAGGGACUAAAAUUGAAAACCUAUAUAAAAUGAAGGCCUAAAAAGUUAAUUAUCCCUUCUUUUUCUUCCUUUGACCAUAUAUUUUGCAGCUAACUUAUAAUUCUCCCAAAAUACAGAUAAAAAACAUUUGACAUUUACUUGAAGCUAAAAGUGAGACAAUUAUUUGCUAUUAGAACCAAUUUCAUUAAGUAGUAAAACCUCAAUUGACAUAUUUGCUAAUUUUCUUUUCUUUUCCUCUGUUGAUAAAUUGGAUAGGAAGCAUAAACAACAUUCGUGGCAACUGAUUUCCUUCAAGCAAAAGACACAAAGCGUAAGAAGCAGUGUACAAAACAGUAACACUGCAUAGAGAUAUAUUAUAUGCUAUAUGUUCAACACUCUCCCAUGGAAAAGAUGAUAAAGAAUAAAGCCAACAUCAACACUGGUUUAACUACUAACAUAUUCAUAUACUACUAGUUUAACUACUAGCAUAUUCAAGUACCACCAGAAAUAGUAGGCAUCCAAAGGCUACACUACAAUAAUAGUGCAGAAUCCACUCUUCCAUAUCUUCAACAUCCCUCUCCUCCCUCCUCUUAUUAUCCGCUUGCUCCUUCAUUUUGUGUUUUCUCUGCGUCGAACAUACCUUGUUCUAUCAUUGUAUCUUGGUCUGUCCUGUUGCCUUUGUGGCUGCGGCUCCACUCUUCUCUGUCUUUCAGGUGGUCUCUGCACAAUCUCUCCAUUCACAAAUAAUUCACCUGCGCAAUUAAUAUAUUUGGAAAGAAUUACCAACCUCAUCAGUAAUGGUAAAUAAUAGAAAAGGAUAAACUAGUGGUUGUUCUAUAAAAGGACAAAACAAAAUUUUGUAAAGAAAAACAUAGGACCUUUGAUUUAUCAUACAAACAAACAAAAACAAGGAACUAAAGCCUCUAAUGAAGGAGUGUAUGUAGCGGGAUAUUAUGCGAUCUGAUGUAUCAACUCCAAUGAUUCUGCAACUACAUAGUUGAUGAAGCAACAGAACAGGAUAGAAGGGAAAUUCUGUCAGUCCAUUAGCAUUCAAAGCUAGACAUUACUCAGAAUGAGUUAUUAGCUUUGCCAAGAUGGACUAUGUAUAAAGGGAGAAUUUUAAUAUAAAAAAUUGAUGUAAUUUGAACAGACUGCAAACCUAGGACAACCUAAAUGUUGUGGACAGCUAUUUUUUACAUAGCAAUGAUAAUGCAUCUUCAUAGCUAUAUGUUUCAUCUCCCACUGAUCUGCAUCUCCACAAAGUAUAUAAAGAGUAGAGAACAGUUAAAGAGAGACAUUUGAUGUAAGUCCAUACAUCAAGCCAAACCUUGCAAGUUGUAAGGCACCCUAGCUAUCUUGCAGAAGAUGGACUGACAUUUCAAAGAAAACAAAUUAAAUGGAAACGUCGAAACUCAUGCAGUCAUGCCACAUUUCACUAUGUUGGUUAGCAGUCAGCACUCAAAUCCUCAAACUAUCAAAGCUAAACCUAGUGUGACACACUAACUAUCCUAGUCAACAGGGAUAGGAGCACAGGACACUCGACAUUUUAUUACUUCGACGGGAAUUCCAGAUUGAAACUUAGAGUCUUAGACCGAUAACAUAUAACCAAUCUUCUAGAAUUGCAAGAAAAAUGGUGGCUGUGAUGAAAAGAGUUAAAAGCCAACACAUCCUUAAAUUCUCACCUCCAUAGUCUUUGUGUUCAGGAUCUACAUAUGAAUCUGGGAGAACAAACAAAACUCCAGGCAAACCUAAUUGAAGAGAAACGAAAAAGUUUGAAUAUUAAAGCAACAAAAUGUAAGUGCUAACAAUAAAGGCACAAAAUUACAACACAUCCAUGACAGACCUUCCAGCUUAUUCGAUGUCUCCUCAUCAAUGUCACAUCCAAAUGCGAAGUACCUCUCACAGGAAACAUUGUAAAUCUUUUUCUUAGCUUCCUCUUCACUGAAAACCAACAUCAGAAACCCCACAUUAUCACAAGCUGUUUCCUAUUUCGAUGAUUAAAAAAAAACACCAAAUAAGCUAAACCUAAUUAAAACAUUCAACCAUUUUAAUUAACAAAAAACAGAAGAAUUCAUUUUUCCAUGCUUAACAAAUAAAUAAACCACAGCUCACAAGAAUACCCAAUAAACUAAAACUAAAAUCAAACAUUAAAAAAAAAAAACCAGCGCAACCCAGAAACCCAAUAAAACACCCUGAAAAAAAAAGAAUAAACUUUCAAUCUUGCCAAGAACCCAUUUCAAGGGUUUCAAUUUCAGAUAGCAAAUAGGAGGAAGCGAGACAUGCCAAGAACCCAGUUUUCUACGGUUAAACCAAAAAAAAAACCCAAUAACCUAAUAAAUUUAAAAAAAAAAAACCAAUAAAAAUAUGAAAUUUCCAAUCCUUAAGCGCAACCCAGAAGCACAUUAAACCAAAAUUAAUUAAAAUUAAAAAACACGUAAAACAGAGUGAAUUUUUUUUGUUUUUAAAAUCUCAAGACUUAAAAAAGAAGAAGUUAAUAACCUAAUCAAAGAGAUAUAUAAAUGGAAACAACAAAAACUGAAAUUGGAAGAACAAGAGAGGGGGAACUCGACCUGCCAAGAACCUUGGCGAGGGUUUGAACGUAGCAAUCUAUCAUCUGUUGCUUGGUAGCGCCUUCGCCGCCGGGCUUGUGGAUGACGACGAGCCAGUGAUGGUAGUCGCAGCCCGGGAACAGGGGCGCCAUGUCCGUCGGAGGGCGCUCCGUGAUCGACGACAAGAUGGAGGUGGGCUUUCCCGUGUUCAGGGGCGAGUACGCCGAGUCUCCGGGGCGGUUGCAGAGGCACCGGACGACGGCGAAGCGGGCGGUGAGGGGCGGAUAGGGGCGGGGAGCGACGGGGAGUGCAGAGGAGAGGAGGCGACGCGAGGCGGCGAUGGAGAGGUGGCGGAGGGAGGUGAGUGGAAGGAGUCGUCGGGCCAUUGCGAAUGACUGAGGAUGGAUGUCUCUGUUAUGCUAAUCCAAAAGGGUGGCGUAGAAUAAGGUUUUUCAAACCAUCUAUUUAACCGAUAAUCUAUCUUCUUUUGAUCAGUUACAAAUAUACACAUACAUCGUGAAUGAGUUAGCAGACACAUCUUCAUAUUUGUAUAUCAAGGCACCAAAAAAUAUCCUGGAAUUAGAGAGCAAAGAUACUUGCAUUAAUUUUAGCAUAAAAUAAUCUUAUAUUGUGAUUCAAUCAAAAAAUACCUUUUAUGAUAAAUUUUAUUGAUUUUUUAUCUUGUUAUCUUUGUAAGACUAUUUUACACGGUUAAUAUAUUAUUAUUAUUAUUAUAUAUUUGUACUCAUUAUAUAAUUUAUUAUAAAUUACAAAAUCAUGAACAAAACUCAUUAAAUUAAUAUGUUAAAAAAAUUGUAAUAUUUAAUAAAAUUCAAUUAAUAGUAAAAAGAAUUUAAUGUUUAUAUAUUAACAAUGUAAAAUAAUUUUAUAGCACCAUCUAAUCAAAUAUCAUCUAAUCAAAUAUCAUCGUUUGAAUUAUUUUAAGAUAAUUAUUUUAAAAAUUAAUAAAUUUAUCAUAAAUAAUGAAUUAUAAUUAAAUGACUAUGUGAAAUUGUUUAUGAGGUGAGUGCAUAACUAUUUUUCUCUAAUAAAUAUAUGUUAAAAAAUGUAUUAUUAACAUAUAUUUUUGGAUUGACUGAGUAUAGGCCUAUGCAUGAGUAAAAUUGCAAUAAUUCCUCAAUAAAAAAAAUAUUAAUCAUUCUAGAAAAGAUUUGAAUGACAAAAGAGAAAUAUAGUAAAAUCACAUAAUAUAAUAUGAUAAUAAUAAAUUUGUUAACUUUUGUAGUGAUCAUCUUUAAAAUCAUAGCAUAGUCAAUUAGUCAUUAAACUCAUAAAAUAGGAGAUAGUAUCAUUAAUUAUAUAAACAUUAAUGAUAAGUGAGACCCAAAAAAUUGUUAACUUUUUUAGAAAUUUAAAUCAUAGAGAAAUCAUUGGAAAAAAAAGUAUUAGAGCAAGUGUCUCUAUAAUUUCUCAAAAAAUAAUGUCAGAAACAAAGUAAACUUAACUCGCUAUCUCAAGGUUUGCAAAUUUUACAACACGAGGCAGAAUAAAGAUGGAUAAAAUGAAUAUUAUUAUGUUUAUUUGACUUGCUCAACCAAGCACAAUACAAGCUUCUCCAUCUUAUAAUUAACUGGCAUUAAAAUACAUGGUGCAAGUGUCAUGAAAUAUCCAAAGCCAUAAAACAUUGUAUAAAUAUGCAUGGCCAACUACUUUUUAUUAUUUAUAAAUCUUAAACACUUUUAUUUUUCUCUUCCAAUGUUUUUCUAUAGACAACACAAAAUAGCACUGAUCAAAUACAACUUGUGGUUGUUACAGAUCAAUGAUAAUUCAUGUGCAGGUAGACUGGUGUUGAAGAUUGCGUAGUUGGUCCUCCAAUGAAGAUACUCACUGUUUUCCCAGUGGCCUUGUUCUUGAAACCAUGUGCUCAGAUUUCUGUUCACAUUAUGCAUAAAAUUUAAGUGAAGGAAAGGAAACACAACAUAAUGCAUUAACUGCUUCCCAAGCAGAACACGAACGAAAAGACGCAAGCAAAACAGUUUUUGGAUAGGAUAGAUCAUAGAUGCAUAGCAAUUGCAAGAGUAAGAAGGUCACAGAAAUAUAAUUAAAAAAUAUAUAUUAAGAACAUGCUCUGUAACACGCUUUUUAUUAUUGACUAAAAUUUAUUGAAAAUCACAGAAUUUUGUAUAUCUCACUUCUGAUUUACUGAGCUCCAUGAUUUUGUAAUUUUCAAUAAAUUUUAACCAAUAAUAGAGUUUCUUAGAAAGAGUCUGAUAUGGUGUGUUGCUAACAUUCCUCUAUAAUUAAUAAGAAUUAGGAUCAUCCUAGAUUUGAGUGGAAGAAAGAGGACAAAAACCAAAAGUUUAAAAGAAAAAAAAGAAUCCAAUACUAUUAUAAUAUCAGAAUGAAUAUGAUGACAACUUUUCCUUAUCAACAAUUAAUUGGCAAUGAUAUAUUCUUAAUCAACAUUGCUGCCAAUUUUCUGCUUCUGCUACCUACUGUCAUCAAGCAUUAGCAUUUUUUUCUUAGUUCUUUUUCCUUUUCCAUUCCUUUUAUUGAUUAUUGUUCUCUAUCUCACAGAAAAAAAGGACUAAGAAGCAACUGACCUGUUCUGAAUGUGGCAAAUAUUUCCCAUCAAAUGUCAAUACCACACGAUCCUUCCCAUCUACUCCUUUAAUUUUAUCAACCGAGCAGUAGAAAUCUAUUGCUGACAUGCUAAACAUGAAAUGGACAAAUAAAUAAUGAGAGAAAUUCUUCAAAGAUAAUCAGACAGUAGUAUUUAUACAUUUAUUUACGCUGCUUUGGGUAUGGCAUUUUUUAUCGCCUCUAACAUCAAUCUCAUAAGCUCACUAUAGUAAUCCUGUUCCAUUCUAAUGUAACUAACUAAUGGGGAACUCACCUGUUAUAACUAACUGAUAAUUGGGGCUACCUAACAUAGUAUAAUGGAUGUGAUUGUGAUAAGCACCACAAAACCUUUACGAAUGGCUAUGUUGAAAGCAAAUUAUCUUUCCCAGUCUCUGGGUGUCUUGGCUCCAUUAAUCAAAACCCUUUAAUUUCAAAUCUUUUUAUAAUACGAUAUUUUCCUUGGCUCUAGGUUUUUCACUUUUAUUAUGCAAGAGGUUCUAAAAUGUCAUCUGUUUAUUGAGACUAAAGACUUAGAUUAUUGCCAUAUUAUUUCUUCUUCAGACAGAAUUCUUUUUUCUUUUCUUUUUAGUUGAAGUAGAAACAAGCAGCAAAUGAGGUUUUUUGAAAAUUAAGAAAAAAAAUAUUAUGCCAUAUAUAUUCACAGAUCAUAUACACCUAAAAGUCCAGACAUCCUGACUUCCUGAGAAUAAUUAGUCAGUGUUUUCAAGUAUUUAAGCCUUCAAUUAUUGAUGGUUAAAAUUGCUGGAACAGUGAUAGCAAAUGGGAUAACCACAAUCAUAGGAAUAUCUAUACAUAAUGUACUAUCCAUUGAAGAUUCUCUCUAACCAUUUCUGCAGCUUGCCUAAGUUGCAUAACAUAGAAGUCUUGUUUUAUCAACUAGUAUCAACACACAUUUAGUGUACAGUUUGCUUCAAAGCUUAAGCAUAAACAACAUGUGUAACCUACUGCAAGAUCAGAAAAUAAAACUAGGUUUUAACAGCAGGAGUUUAUAUUUAAUGGAGAUAGAGAAAUUUAUUUCGGACAGGGACCAAGUAUCAAAACAAAAAUGUUGAGCAUUUCCUUAAACCAAUAUAUCUUUUCUUAUCAAAUCUUCAAAAAAAACAAUCUUUUCUCAUCAAUUAGCUUUAAAGCUGAAUGAACAAGAAAACAUGAUACACUCAACUCAAGUCAUAUAUAGAAAAACACCAAACAACUUCAUCUUGAGCAUUCAUGAGAAAUAUAUCAUUAUGUAAUUGAAACUUACAUCCCAUCACCAAACUCCUCAUUGAUUAUUUCUUUGAUGCUCUCCCCAAAAUGCAUAACAGCUUCAUUCAACCUAUGAAAUAGAAGAUCAGCAUAACCCAACAAAUUAAAUAUAUAUAAAAGGAAGUUGAUAUGCAUUACACUUGACAUAUUUCCAACAUUAGAAUCCUCAAAAACAUGUUACAACAGAACUACCAUGUGCAUACAUGUUGAUCACUUUGGUUUCAUAAGAGUAUGUCCUAAACUCCUCAAAAUGACAUAAACCCUUUGAAGAAACAGAAACAUGUCUACUUAAAGACACCCAUGACAGUUAAAAAAAAUGACAUUUUGACAUCGCUCACCGACAAAUUUACAUCUAAACAUUCAUCAUAAUGUCAUGUUAACACGACAACCUCCCAUACCCAUUUGGCCAUUGCACCAAAGACAAGACAACAAAUGUAUGUUUACUCCACAACAGCUUGAUCAUCAGCAGAGGCACAUAUGAGAACCAAAACUUACGAUUUCCCAUCUCUUAUUUUUACAAUCUUUAAACUAGCUACAUAAAAAUUAAAUUGUGGCGUUUAAUGCUAAUACAUCAUCAUCAGUACAUAAGGUUUUCACAUGUUUACAAUCAUGCUUUGACACAUUAUUGAAAACCUCACAUGAUUGAGUGAAUAUUAAUAAUAAUAAUAAUAAUAAAGAGUCUUAGUUAGUCUCUUAAAUUACAAGAUUAUGCAAUUUUGGUCCCCAGAUUCUUUAUUACACCCCAAUUGGGUCCAUCAGAUUUUCUUUCAUUCACAGUCAGGUUCCUCCAUCCAAUAUUUACCAGAAUUAGCUGGCUUGGCAUACCAGGCAUUAAAAACUGGAAGGACCCAAUUCACAGAAUUGAAACCUAAGACCAAAAUUGCAGACUUGCUAUAAGUGAGAGACUUAAAAUGCAAUAAAUACUAAAAAAAAAAAAAGAGCAAUCGACGAAUUGAAUCAUGAUUAUAUUGAAAGAACCCAUUUCACCUCAGAAGUAAAAAAUCCAACCUUUCACACAAAGAAUAACUAGACAAGUAAAAAUGACAUGUGAAGAGGCACCUAUAGACAGUGGGGUCUUGGAUGAGAUUAGGGUCAUAAGACCUCAAAGGGGGUCUCAUCAUCUCAGAAACAAGGUCUUGGGGCAGGUCGGG
rnacentral:lncRNA from 1 species